rnacentral:lncRNA from 1 species
GAACACAUAUGUCCCCUCUGUCUCGAAGAUACAGCCAAGAAGUAUAAAGGACAUAGGUGGCUGUUUCUAAGUCUGCCAUGGAAGAUGUCCCAGCUUGAACCGCAGAAGCUUUUGUGAAGUUUGAUCCAAGUCAAUCGGCAAGAAGCUGACAGCUGCAUUUAGUGGCUCCUGCCAGGGUGCUGCUUCCUGUGCUCUGGAAAAUCCCUCAUCACCAAACAGGCCAACUGAGCCACACCUGGGUUUAAGCAGAACAUCUGGACCUACUCUUUCCUACUCACUCAUGUUCUUCAAAUCUUCCCUAAACAAAUGGCGCUUUAGCACAAGUCUGACACCAGAGAUUUGUAAGCCCUAUGUGCACUGCCAAAUCCAGUUUGAUACAAAACACAGCUACCCUUCUUGAAUCAAAUACAUUACAGAGAUGAUACCUCAGUCAUAUAUUUCAAUUAGUUAAGCCUCAAGCGAUUUAUGGAGGUCAUUUCCACCAGUAGUAAUAAAUUUCAUUGUGGCAUUAACAAACAGGGAAUUUGAGGGAAGGUUGGAAUCCAACAUCUUUUAAAUAUUCUAGCAUUCAUUGGUCAUAAGCUCUUUGUUUUUAACCACUGGCUGGGAAAGUCCUGAAAAUUAAAGAUGGGUGUGGGUAUAAUUAAUGGAAUGCCGG